rnacentral:rRNA from 1 species
AUGUUCACAUGAUUAAAGGUAUUCCGGUAGACGAUGGGGAUGCGUUCCAUUAGAUAGUAGGCGGGGUAACGGCCCACCUAGUCUUCGAUGGAUAGGGGUUCUGAGAGGAAGGUCCCCCACAUUGGAACUGAGACACGGUCCAAACUCCUACGGGAGGCAGCAGUGAGGAAUAUUGGUCAAUGGGCGAGAGCCUGAACCAGCCAAGUAGCGUGAAGGAUGACUGCCCUAUGGGUUGUAAACUUCUUUUAUAAAGGAAUAAAGUCGGGUAUGCAUACCCGUUUGCAUGUACUUUAUGAAUAAGGAUCGGCUAACUCCGUGCCAGCAGCCGCGGUAAUACGGAGGAUCCGAGCGUUAUCCGGAUUUAUUGGGUUUAAAGGGAGCGUAGAUGGAUGUUUAAGUCAGUUGUGAAAGUUUGCGGCUCAACCGUAAAAUUGCAGUUGAUACUGGAUAUCUUGAGUGCAGUUGAGGCAGGCGGAAUUCGUGGUGUAGCGGUGAAAUGCUUAGAUAUCACGAAGAACUCCGAUUGCGAAGGCAGCCUGCUAAGCUGCAACUGACAUUGAGGCUCGAAAGUGUGGGUAUCAAACAGGAUUAGAUACCCUGGUAGUCCACACGGUAAACGAUGAAUACUCGCUGUUUGCGAUAUACAGCAAGCGGCCAAGCGAAAGCGUUAAGUAUUCCACCUGGGGAGUAC